UUUUUUGAGAAGGACCUGUAGAGCAGAGAUCUCCAAUCCUGCUCCUGGAGAGCUACCAUCCUGAAGACUUCAGUUCCAACCCUGAUCCAACACACCUGUCUGUAAUUAUCAAGUAGCCCUGAACACCUUGAUUAGCUGGUUCAGGUGCGUUUGACUGGGGUUGGAGCUGAAAUCUGCAGGACAGUAGCUCUCCAUGAGCAGGGUUGGAGACCCCUGUACUAGAGAUUACACCAGCUCCAGAGUGAAUCCAAACUCACUUGUGAAGAGUUCAGAUGAUGCCAACGCUCACAAAGACUACAGAUGAUGGCAACUGUACAUGGACACACAAAACAUUGGACACAAAACAUUGCCUAUAAGGCAGGGGUAGUGGCGGGUGGUCCGUAACGAUGAGGAAAAACCCUGGUGAACCGCAUCCACUCAGAGCGGCCGGGAUUUACAGCUGCAUCGCCCCAACAACGGCUAGAGAGCAUUUCCGAUCAGAGGCCAACGUCACAGCGACUUCUUCCCUAUAAGCAAAUGCUCUGAGUGACAUCGCCGAUGGAAUUUUGUAUGUCGGGUCAACAUCGGCCCAACGUAUGUGUGCUGUCUGGGCAUUUAAUCCUGAAAGAAAAACACAAGAGCUACAACUGACUUUAGCCACAGCCUUAGAUGAAAUCAACUGAAAUAAAAGAAUACAUCAAAUCUCUCAAGAUCUGAUUAAACAACUCCUAAAACAGCUUUACCAGAUUCAUAUUACUAACCAGAAUUACUUUAUUUCUGUCAGAUGUCUACAGAAGAUCUUAUUGAGAGUUACAGGGGUUUAGGUGUUUUUUUCACUACCAUGAUGGAGAUCAGUGUUUACUUUAGUUGUGCUCUUGAACCGUGAAUUUUCACCACUAAGGUUUUUUUUUGUUUUUUUGGUCUCAUGUAAUAAUGUAUUUUUAGAACUUGUUAUAGCAAAAAGAUCAGCAUAAAAAAAUUAAUCUGUUAUUGUUGUUUAUAGGUUGGUAAGAACAAACAUUCUCUUAUAUCUGAUCCAGUCUGGUGUCUCUUCUCUUAUUGAAACUAGAGCAAAAGAAAGAAAAUACCACUCAUAUAAAAAAAAAAAAACCAUUUGCUUAACUUUAGACAGACACAUCAAGAAUCAGCGUAUGAAUCACAAAAAUGGUGACAAUCCACAAAAUAAAUAAAGACAUGAGUUCUGAACAUUGAAGCUCAAAAUAUUUAAAACCCAAACUGCUCUUAAAUCCUUAUGUUCUGGUUGUUACGUUACUAUUCACUUUUAUAAAGUCAAAUAAAAAGAAAAUAAUAAGUGUAAUUACACUCAUAUAAAUUAGCACUGAAUGAUUCUAGCAACACUUUAAGUCAGUCUAGUAGAUUAUGGCUCAUAGAAACAGCCAUAAUAACUUUAUCACCAACAUAAAUGAUGCUAUAACAGAUGUAUAUUAAAGACACAGAUAUAGCAAUCAAACAAAACUUAAGUUUCAAAAGUCAAGGGUCAGGAGCCCAACUAAAGCAAAUACUGAUCUCCACAAUGGUAACGUCAAACGAAACAAUAAAACAUCAUCAAUCUCUGUAACUCUCAAUAAGAUCUUUUGAUCUCUGAUCUCUGAUCUGACAGA
ensembl:lncRNA